UGUAUAUCUUAAUUUUAAUUAUAUUUUUCAAUAUUUAUUCAUUUUAUGAACUUUAUAAAAUUUUCAAAACACUUUAGAUAGCGACAAGCCGUUACUAUUAUGUUAUAACCGUUAUAGAUCCACUUACAUUACUCGUGAAUGCGACCGUGAUUUAAAACCAUUAACCAUAUGAAAUUUUUCUUUGGAUACUGUAUUGAUAGGAUCACAAUACAAGUUUAUUUGUGUUCCACUUAAGCUGAAAUCAUUGCGGAAAUUUUUAGAUGUAGUUUUGCAUAAUUUUCAUUAGAAAAUUUUUUCUUAAACCAUAGUUAUCUGUGGCUUUGUGCCAACUCAUGCCCACCAAAUAUGUAAUACUGUCUGACUAAAAAUUAUCCUUCUAUUACAAAGGUGCAGCUGGAUUUGGUGAAAUCCAAGGUAAACGGAAUUUGGUUAUCGAAGACUUCAGGAAGGUUUCAUUUUUCAAAUCAUUCUCGACAUGGAUUAACUGGAUGCUUCAUGGAACUAGCUUCUCAAAUUAAAUGUAUCAAUCUGUGAUCAAAAGGGUCAGAUAUAUAAGCAUCAAAAUGUAUUUUAUGGUUUGUGCAAACUCUUAAAAUUGUGAGCAUAUUACUCCAGAUACCUUCAUUUUUGAAAGUUUAAGAACCUUUUGUGCAAGUUUUAUGCCACUGCCCACUAUUACAACAGCCCUUGCUGUUUU
rnacentral:misc_RNA from 1 species